rnacentral:rRNA from 1 species
UACGGAAGGCAGCAGUGGGGAAUAUUGCACAAUGGGCGAAAGCCUGAUGCAGCUAUGCCGCGUGUAUGAAGAAGGCCUUAGGGUUGUAAAGUACUUUCAUCGGGGAGGAAAAAACAAAACUAAUAAUUUUAUUUCUUGACGUUACCCGAAAAAGAAGCACCGGCUAACUCCGUGCCAGCAGCCGCGGUAAUACGGAGGAUGCUAGCGUUAAUCAGAAUUACUGGGCGUAAAGAGCACGUAGGUGGUUUUUUUAAGUCAGAUGUGAAAUCCCUGGGCUUAACCUAGGAACUGCAUUUUGAAACUGAAAUACUAGAGUAUCGUAGAGGGAGGUAGAAUUCUAGGUGUAGCGGUGAAAUGCGUAGAUAUCUGGAGGAAUACCUGUGGCGAAAGCGGCCUCCUAAACGAAUACUGACACUGAGGUGCGAAAGCGUGGGGAGCAAACAGGGAUUAGAUACC